CUUGCGGCCUGCGGCCCAAGGUGACUUCUCCAAGCCUCAGAAGAUGCCCGUGGCACAGUGACUCACUGUGGCUUCAGAUUCAGCUCUGGCCCUCCCUUCUCUCGAGCCCCACCCUUGGAAGAAAUGCAAGGACAGAAACUUCACUGAACUCCUGAUUUUUGUGCCUGGCCCCAAAGACAAGGGGGCUAGGGUCUGUGCAUUCCAGAGACUUCCUCUUAGCUGAGAUCUGAAAUCCCCAAGUUUUCCAGUCAAGCUGUUGUAAACCCGUCCAGAUCUCUGCGCACCUCCUCCCGGUGGCCUGCAGACUGCAGAGCUGAGCCCAGAGGCCCAGUUCAGUGGGCAGGCUACAGGGGAGGGAGGGGAACCAGAGCCAGAAGGAGAGGGGCGUCUCUGAGACUGGGCUCCCACAUUCACCUGGAAUCAUCUUUGAAGUGGAAAGAUUAACACGGGAUUCAGUUUCCCCUUUGUGAAUGAGUGGUGUUGGAAACUACACAGAGAUUCCUCUGUGCCGGUCAGGCCCUGCAACCCCAGGACCAAGAGAGGGAUGAAUCUUGAUAAAACCUUGGGAUGGAGAAAGGCAAGAAGGGUGCCAUUCACACACACCCCAUCAGUCUCAUUGUUCCCUGCCAUUACCACUACCCUGGAGAAGGACACCAAACAGCUGCUUAUUAAAACACAUUACCUGAGGCCAGGCUUGGUGACUCACAUGUCCAAUCCAUGACAGGCAGGUUGCUUGAGGCCAGGAGUUCGAGACCAGCCUGGCCAACACGGCAAAACCUCAUCUCUACUAAAAAUACAAAAAUUAGCCGGACGUGGUGGUGCAUGCCUGUAGUCCCAGCUUUCUGGGAGGCUUAGGCAUGAGAAUUGCUUCAACCCGGGAGGCGGAGGUUGCAGUGAGCCAACAUGGUGCUACUGCAUUCCAGCCUGGGUGAUAAAGCAAGACUCUGUCUCAAAAAUAAAAAUAAAAAUAAAC
rnacentral:lncRNA from 1 species